AAAUCGAAGAUGAGGUUACACGACAAGUGGCUCAGUGCAAAUGUGCAAAAAGGUUUCAGGUGGAGCAGAUCGGAGAGAAUAAAUACCGGUUUGGGGAUUCUCAGCAGUUGCGGCUGGUCCGUAUUCUGCGCAGCACCGUGAUGGUCCGCGUUGGUGGAGGAUGGAUGGCCUUGGAUGAAUUUUUAGUGAAAAAUGAUCCCUGCCGAGCACGAGGUAGAACUAACAUUGAACUUAGAGAGAAAUUCAUCCUACCAGAGGGAGCAUCCCAGGGAAUGACCCCCUUCCGCUCACGGGGUCGAAGGUCCAAACCAUCUUCCCGGGCAGCUUCCCCUACUCGUUCCAGCUCCAGUGCUAGUCAGAGUAACCACAGCUGUACAUCCAUGCCAUCUUCUCCAGCCACCCCAGCCAGUGGAACCAAGGUACGUACUGAUCUCCAUUAUGCUCUUCUUCCCCACUCCCACCCUCGCAGAUGUUCAUUGUUCAUGGUAGCCUCUGAAAGACUCCAGUGAGGAGAAGAAAUAAAAAU
rnacentral:sRNA from 1 species